UGUAAAUUAAUUAUGCUUUGUAUAUUUUAGCAUCCUUACCACUAUUAUAGUGAUAGAUACGAACAUCCCUACGUGAACCAAUAUAAGCCGGAUUUUCCCAACUACGCGCACCCUAGUAACUACGUAUAUGGCUAUUUGAGAGACAGACCCGAUGAUGAUGACGA